rnacentral:tRNA from 1 species
UGUGGCCUUAGCUCAGUUGGUAGAGCACCUGACUGUUAAUCAGGUUGUCGCUGGUUCGAGCCCAGCAGGCUACGU